AUUGAACGCUGGCGGAAUGCUUUACACAUGCAAGUCGAGCGGCAGCACGGGGGCAACCCUGGUGGCGAGCGGCGAACGGGUGAGUAACACAUCGGAACAUGCCCAGUCGUGGGGGAUAACACUUCGAAAGAAGUGCUAAUACCGCAUACGUCCUGAGGGAGAAAGCGGGGGAUCGCAAGACCUCGCGCGAUUGGAGUGGCCGAUGUCAGAUUAGCUAGUUGGUGGGGUAAAGGCCUACCAAGGCAACGAUCUGUAGCUGGUCUGAGAGGAUGAUCAGCCACACUGGGACUGAGACACGGCCCAGACUCCUACGGGAGGCAGCAGUGGGGAAUUUUGGACAAUGGGGGCUACCCUGAUCCAGCCAUUCCGCGUGAGUGAAGAAGGCCUUCGGGUUGUAAAGCUCUUUCGGCAGGAACGAAACGGUGAGCUCUAACAUAGCUUGCUAAUGACGGUACCUGAAAAAGAAGCACCGGCUAACUACGUG
rnacentral:rRNA from 1 species